CUCUGAGAUUUAUAAUUAAGUUUUUAAAUUACAGGAAGUCAUUGAUGUUUCUGCCUGUGGUUGUGGAGAGAAGUUCCAGUCUGUGAUUGUCUCACCUGAAUUUGCUGGUAAAUCUUUAUUGAGUCAACACAGAUUGGUUAAUUCUAUUCUGAAAGAAGAACUGAAAAUAAUCCAUGCCUUCCAAAUGAAAACCAUGACACCUGAACAGUGG